rnacentral:rRNA from 1 species
ACGGGUGAGUAACGCGUAUCCAACCUUCCGUACACUCAGGGAUAGCCUUUCGAAAGAAAGAUUAAUACCUGAUGGUAUGAUGAGAUUGCAUGAUAGCAUCAUUAAAGAUUUAUCGGUGUACGAUGGGGAUGCGUUCCAUUAGGUAGUAGGCGGGGUAACGGCCCACCUAGCCAACGAUGGAUAGGGGUUCUGAGAGGAAGGUCCCCCACAUUGGAACUGAGACACGGUCCAAACUCCUACGGGAGGCAGCAGUGAGGAAUAUUGGUCAAUGGACGAGAGUCUGAACCAGCCAAGUAGCGUGAAGGAUGAAGGUCCUACGGAUUGUAAACUUCUUUUAUAAGGGAAUAAACCCUCCCACGUGUGGGAGCUUGUAUGUACCUUAUGAAUAAGCAUCGGCUAACUCCGUGCCAGCAGCCGCGGUAAUACGGAGGAUGCGAGCGUUAUCCGGAUUUAUUGGGUUUAAAGGGAGCGCAGACGGGUCGUUAAGUCAGCUGUGAAAGUUUGGGGCUCAACCUUAAAAUUGCAGUUGAUACUGGCGUCCUUGAGUGCGGUUGAGGUGUGCGGAAUUCGUGGUGUAGCGGUGAAAUGCUUAGAUAUCACGAAGAACUCCGAUUGCGAAGGCAGCACACUAAUCCGUA